rnacentral:snoRNA from 1 species
UAUUCAUGGUAGGGCACUUUCUAAAAUACUAUUUGAAUCUUUUCCAUGCUUCUAGAUAGCUCUCGAGAUCCUUUUGCUUGAACGUAUGAACUUUAUUCCUAAUAUG